ensembl:ncRNA K04D7.10 ncRNA
ACAGGAAAGAAAAGGAUGCAAAAGUUGUGAAGAAGGGAAUCAAAGUCUGAGGGGGGGGGGGGCGAUUAAACGGGCGGAUAGUGAAUGCGGCGGCCGCACACACACAUAGGGACGGGCAUUUGGAGGAAUGUGACUAGGAACAACACAGAGGCGAAGAGGACAAGAAAUAAAUCGGACAGUCUGUGUAGAGGCAAGAAAUUGGAGGAGGAAAAGGCGAGGGACGGUGCGGAAAAG